rnacentral:sRNA from 1 species
CAUUCAGUCCACCCGCUGGUUGAGUGUU